UACGUAGGGCGCAAGCGUUGUCCGGAAUUAUUGGGCGUAAAGAGCUCGUAGGCGGCUUGUCACGUCGAUUGUGAAAGCCCGAGGCUUAACCUCGGGUCUGCAGUCGAUACGGGCUAGCUAGAGUGUGGUAGGGGAGAUCGGAAUUCCUGGUGUAGCGGUGAAAUGCGCAGAUAUCAGGAGGAACACCGGUGGCGAAGGCGGAUCUCUGGACCUGUCCUGACGCUCAGGCGCGAAAGCUAGGGGAGCGAACAGG
rnacentral:rRNA from 1 species